rnacentral:rRNA from 1 species
GAUGAACGCUGGCGGCGUGCCUAAUACAUGCAAGUCGAGCGAACAGACGAGGAGCUUGCUCCUCUGACGUUAGCGGCGGACGGGUGAGUAACACGUGGAUAACCUACCUAUAAGACUGGGAUAACUUCGGGAAACCGGAGCUAAUACCGGAUAAUAUAUUGAACCGCAUGGUUCAAUAGUGAAAGACGGUUUUGCUGUCACUUAUAGAUGUAUCCGCGCCGCAUUAGCUAGUUGGUAAGGUAACGGCUUACCAAGGCAACGAUGCGUAGCCGACCUGAGAGGGUGAUCGGCCACACUGGAACUGAGACACGGUCCAGACUCCUACGGGAGGCAGCAGUAGGGAAUAUUCCGCAAAGGGCGAAAGCCUGACGGAGCGAAGCCGCGUGAGUGAUGAAGGUCUUCGGAUCGUAAAACUCUGUUAUUAGGGAAGAACAAAUGUGUAAGUAACUAUGCACGUCUUGACGGUACCUAAUCAGAAAGCCACGGCUAACUACGUG